rnacentral:lncRNA from 1 species
AACAAAUGACAGUUGAUGAAAAGCCCUAUUUGCUGUCUUUUUCUAUAAAUCACAAACGUUUGUUACCUAUAGAAAAAGAUCAUCAUCAUCAUUGGCUCGACAGCCCUUUCUGGGUCUUGGCCUGUUCCAGGAUUCUUCUCCACUCUGAUCUGUUUCGUGCUUUUUUUUCUCCAGUUUUUUAUUUUUAAUGUUUUUAUAUCAUUUUCUAUUUGUUCUAAAAUAGAAAAAGAUAGCAAAUACAAAAUAAGUGAUUGAUGUGAUCGUUCAUGGGUAUAGGCCCUAACAACACACAACAUUCCAGGAAUGUACUACCAAAGUUCUAUCAAUAUUUGAAUGUCCUGGACAUUUAGGGAACAUUCGGUGAACAUCUGUUUAAAUUAUUCCUGGAAUGUUACCAUAAGACAUUCUGUGAACAUACUACCAAUGUUCCUAUAUUUUAAGUUGCGAAAUAAUACAUACGUGUAAGAGAUACAACAUUACUUAUAACAUACCAGACAAACUAAGUGACAUUUUAGGCCUACAGUGCAAUAAUAUGUCAAAUUUAAAGAGUUUCCCAAGAUUAUAAACAUACAAAUGUAAUAAAAAUUAUUGUUCGCGAAUAUUCAAUUUGGAAUGCGAUUUUGUUAAUAAAAAAAAUACUUAUAACUUAUGCAAAACCCAAGAGAGGCAUUUAUAUUUAUUUCUUUUGCGUUCAUUUUCAAAUUCGCCGUGCAUAUAUUUUUGUGCAUGGCGCUUGAGAGGGCAUCACGUGACUAAAAACGACCAACCAACGACCUCGCUUCGGCCAUCUUGGCAUCUUCAUCUUGGCGACCUCUAUGUUGGCGACCUUGCCUUGCCGUGGAUUGUUUUUAGUUGUUUGUAUUAUUUGUGCUUUUUAAGAAUAUUUUUUUAAUUCGGAUACUUUUAUAAUAGCUUUAAUAGUAUUAUUAACAUAGUGCAUAAAAUGGUGUCCUGUUUUUAACGCAGUUGGAGUAGCAGAAACAAAUGUAGAUAAAAAAAUCUGCAGGAAUAACGUUUCAAUUAUGACAGAAGCUCAAAACAAAUGACUGUGAAUGAAAAGCCCUAUUAAAAGCUUUCCAGAAGAUCCUGCGAAGAAGACAUGAAGUAUAGAUCAGAUUUGUUAAUAGAGGAGUAUGUUCAAAACACUUUUUAGAAAAAGAUAUUGACAGAACUUCACUUUCAUCUGUUCGUUUGAGAGACUGUGCUGUUCCAAUAGCUUAUGUCACACAGAAUCAGCUGAGAGAAGUGGUCUACAAAAAACCAGAAAGGAAACGGAAUAUGUGGUUACGAAAAGCAAAAGAAAGGUUUACAAAGCAAAUGUAACACAUUUUUUUAUAAUAUUUAGGAAUGUCAGCAAAUUACAUUAAAAAAUGUAUGUAAAGAUUUUUUGCAAUAAAAAUGUUUAUAUUUA